rnacentral:rRNA from 1 species
GAUGAACGCUGGCGGCGUGCCUAACACAUGCAAGUCGAGCGAACAGACGAGGAGCUUGCUCCUCUCACGUUAGCGGCGCACGGGUGAGUAACACGUGGAUAAUCUACCUAUCAGACUGGGAUCAUCUCGGGAAUCCGGCGCUUAUACCGGAUAAUAUCUUGAACCGCAUUGUUCAAUAGUGAAAGACGGUUUUGCUGUCACUUCUAGAUGGAUCCGCGCCGCAUUAGCUAGUUGUUAGGGUAACGGCUUAUGAAGGCAACGAGGCGUAGCCGACCGGAGAGGGUGGUCGGCCACACGGGAGCGGGGACGCGGACAAGACUCCUGCGGGAGGCAGCAGUAGGGUAUGUUCGGCAGUGGGGGAGAACCUGACGGAGCAACGCGACGCGAGUGGUGAAGGUGUUGGGAUCGGAAAGCUGUGUUAUGAGGGAAGAACAGAUGUGGAAGGAGCUGUACACGGCGUGACGGUAACUAAUCAGAAAGCCACGGCUAACUACGUG